GUGCUCGCUUCGGCAGCACAUGUACUACAAUUGGAACGAUACAGAGAAGAUUAGCAUGGCCCCUGCACAAGGAUGACAUGCAAAUUCAUGAAGCGUUCCAUAUUUUU
rnacentral:snRNA from 1 species